rnacentral:rRNA from 1 species
UACGGAGGGUGCAAGCGUUAAUCGGAAUUACUGGGCGUAAAGCGCACGCAGGUGGCUGAGUAAGUCGAUUGUGAAAGCCCUGGGCUUAACCUGGGAAUUGCAGUCGAAACUACUCGGCUAGAGUAAUGGGGAGAGGGCAGUGGAAUUCCCCGGUGUAGCGGUGAAAUGCGUAGAUAUCGGGAGGAACAUCAGUGGCGAAGGCGGCUGCCUGGCCCAAUACUGACACUCAGGUGCGACAGCGUGGGGAGCAAACAGG